CUUAAUUCUAUAAAUAAAGUUUAAUAUUAAAAAUUGAUACAAGGUUGGCAUUGCUAAAAUUAGGCAGUACUGAUUUGUGUAAAGGGUUGCAGCAAGUAGGCUUGAAUAAAGAACCCAAACUUCAAACCUCAUUUGGAAUUCCAGAUAAAGUUUAAGAAUAAUACAUAUUUGUAAAGGAUUUUAUAGUGUUUUAAUAUUUUCACAUGUAUGAUCUCACUGAUUGUUAUCAGAACACUGGGGGAUAGUAGCUCAGGUUUGAUUAUCCCAUUUUUACAAAUAAGGUCAUGGAGGCUCAGAGAGGCGAACCUACUUAUUAAGAGCAGAUAGGGACUAAAUGACAAGGGUGGGACUUGUGUGCCUUUUUCAGGGGCCACCAGUUCAACCCACUGCAUCAGUGUGUGGCAUUUAAUUCUGUGUGUUCCUUUUGGAUUGAAGAAAUAAUCUUGUCUGAAGGCAGGCAGAUGGGCUAGGGAAUUUUUAGCUAGCAUGUAUAGAGGCACAUUUAAAAUAUAUAUGUUUGGUGCUAAAUGCUUAGUUACUCGAAUUGAACUAAUUAACCCCAGAAUUCUAUCAGAUCAUUACACUAGGGUUGCAUUUGCAGAACUAUGAAAAAGGAACUAAAUUAAAGUAACAUCUGACUAUUCAUGAUUAACAAUAUUAAAAUUCAGCCUUUUUGAUUCAUGUUCAAUUGGACUAAAAGGUGUGUGUGUAUAUGUGUCUGUGAAUGAAUAAAAGAGAUCUCCUUUGGUAAUGGGAUAGAUUUCUUACAUCACAUGGGUCAUUUGGGUCGUAUAAAUCAAGGUCAAUGUAUGUAAAUUCUUUAAGGAAAGGGACUUCGUGUGUCUUGUUCACAGUUAGAUCCCCACUGUUAUUCCUGAUACAUAAAUGUGCUCACAGAAUUUGCUAAAUGAAUGAAAUAACUUUUUAUGACACCCAGUCAGGCAGCCACAAGUCCCAUAAUACCGUUUCACUUUUGUGGAGGUCCCUGAAUAACAGUAAGAUUGUAGGAGAGUCUUCACUGACUGCAAGAGAUUCCAUUGUGAGUCCAUUUACUUUUGACAGAGCCUGUGGCCUCUUCUUCUCUGUUAAUCUUUACUCUGGGCCUAAAGUGUGCCUUGUUCACGUUAAAGAAUGAUCAGUGAGAUCGCUCCCGCCUGUCAGCUCCUGUCUCACUUGCAUGGAGCUCAGGUACCCCUGGAGGCAUUCUGGUGGACCAGUCCAGCCCGCUCUUCAGGUCAUUGGUGCUACACAUAAACCUCUGGGCAGAGGGCAGGCUUUUGUCCUCCCAACAGUGUGCAGAGUUCAGACUCUGAUACAGCUUUCAGUGUUAACAGGUAGAAGUUGGGUGACUCAAAUGAUGUGCCAGACUUCCCUUGUGUUAUCGAAAAUACCGUUUCCGGCCAACCUUUUAGAAGCUAAGAACUAUCAUCAUCCCUGUUUUACAGAAGCACAAAGAAGUUAAGUACUUGACCAAGUCACACCAAGAUAUGAGCCCAGGUAGUCUUGCUUCAGAGCCUGCGUUCUUAUCCGUGCCCACUGCCAGCCUCAUGCUCAUUGGUUUAUGGGGGAAAUGAAGUUCGAAGCAGGCUGUCCUGACUCCAAGAUGCUGUAUUGUUUCUGAGGUGCCACGGUGGUGGCUGCCUCUCGGCUCGGCGCCAGCUCACUCGGAAGUGGAGAUGAGUCCCCGGGUUCCACAUCACUCCACACCAUGCCACACACCGUGUGUGCUCUGCAAAUAGCUCUUGGUGGGGCCCAGAUCCAACAGCUCGGAACUCCCCCAUCCAGCCACUGGACCACCUCUCGGCACAGCAUCAGAGGACAGCUGUAGGACCUCACUUACAUGUGGAAUCUUAAAAGGCUGAAAGAACUCAUAGAAUCAGAAGACAGCUAAAGCCUCAGGUUGUGGAAGGGGGAGGCAUGCCACGCAGCAUGUGGGAUCUUCCUCUCCCAACCAGGGAUGAAUUCCGUGCCCCCUACAGCAGAAACUUAAGAGUCUUAACUACUGGAUUGCCAGGACUCUGCUUCUUACCUGAGAUGGAAUAGAUAAAACAGGCUGAAGUUUGAGAAGCCGUGCAACAGUUUCCCAGUAGAGGCAUUCAUAAGAAAACAGUCUCAGAAACAAUGGACAUGACCAAUACUCCAACCUUGCC